UGGGGAAUAUUGCACAAUGGGCGAAAGCCUGAUGCAGCGACGCCGCGUGAGGGAUGACGGCCUUCGGGUUGUAAACCUCUUUCAGUAGGGACGAAGCGCAAGUGACGGUACCUACAGAAGAAGCACCGGCCAACUACGUGCCAGCAGCCGCGGUAAUACGUAGGGUGCGAGCGUUGUCCGGAUUCACUGGGCGUAAAGAGCUCGUAGGCGGUUUGUCACGUGGUCUGUGAAAACCCGAGGCUUAACCUCGGGCCUGCGGGCGAUACGGGCGGACUUGAGUACUGUAGGGGAGACUGGAAUUCCUGGUGUAGCGGUAGAAUGCGCGGAUAUCAGGAGGAACACCGGUGGCGAAGGCGGGUCUCUGGGCAGUAACUGACGCUGAGGAGCGAAAGCGUGGGUAGCGAACAGG
rnacentral:rRNA from 1 species